ACACAUCAUUUCCUCCCGGCCCCAGGGAUUCCGCCCGCCUAGCCAUGCUCGCCCGCCGCCCCCGACCCCCGACCCUUCGGGCCGCCCGGGCUGUGGGCUGCUGCGAGCCGGGCUGGCGGGACGCGGGGGAGGCGCGCGGCACGGGGAGCGGCCAGAACCUCAGCUUGCACUUCUGACUGACAGAGAAAGGAAAGACUCGAAGGAGGAUCGCUUCUCUAAGCCGUGCAGCCAAAAACCAGUGCUGGGGUGUGUCAUCCAAAAGUUUAUACCUGCCUGUCAGGCUUCCCCACCUUUGUCUGGAACAGCACUUUUAUUUAGGAGAGAUGAUCGUAGUGUGCCUGUCCAUCAUGUGGUCCUAUUGAACACAGGAACCAGGAGAUCCAGGCAGAGUGUGAGAACACUCUCUGGACACAGCAACUGGCCAAGAAGAACUGGUCAGGUUCCUUUUAAAGACUCGACACAGAUGAGAGGAAAAGAAGUGCCAUCUUUGAGUCAGCAUGGGACAGUCUGGGGCUGCUCUGCUAUGGGCAGAAGUUGUGUGCCCCAAAAUGGAGCUAACAUAGAGAGAGGGGCACAGAAUGUAGAGAGCAAGACAAAGACUCAAGUCCGGAUGCUGUAGGAUCUACAUUUGGGGAAAGCUCAUCUCUCAGUUGGUUCCCUUGAUUUAGUAAAGACUGAUGUGAGUUUAUUUCCAGUUUACUUCUUGCGAUGUCGUGGAGGCCAUGAAGGUUGUAGUUCUUGUUGAACUUUCCAUGCCCAGGGCUUAGUGCUCACCUCUGCUCAGAAUGAGCAGUUCCCACUGAACCAAUAAAUGUACCAGCCUCACGGCUCUUCACACUAUCUCUGCUUUCUUUGGUAACUCCAUGCUAGAAAUGCUUUAUAGCCUUUUCCAUGGUCAAAGCAGACAGAGAGAGCAUUGGUGAAGCAUACAGGCUCCAGGGUAGGCGAGGCUAGGCUCAGAUAAAAAGGGAAAACCUUGCUAAGUUGUAAAUUCUUCCCAGUCCAAUUGUCCUAUCUAUAGAAUGAGGACAGUAUCAUUAUCAUUUAUGAAGAAAUCCUCAUCUUUGUCGCUGCAUUUUUUUUUCUUCAUUUGUUUAGUAAUUUGUACCUGCCACCCUGGUACGGGGUAGGUAUUCAUCUGGAGCAAAUCUAGUGGUUAAAACAACGAAAGACGCCUCACAUCUAUGGAAGGCUAGUUUCCAUAGUUAAACCUGUGCUGUAGACCUAGAAAGGCAUCUAGGGCUGACCUCCUCUUACCCUCCCUGGCACUGUCUGCACAGCUCUUCUGAUUGGUGACUCAGCCCAGAUGCCUUCCAAUAAAUCUCUUCGGUUUGUUUGUGUACAACGCAACCAAGGAGCCCGAAUGAAUAAACCCACCUCAAAAGCUUGUACCGAGAAUCAGGCAAGAUGCUACACGUGAAGCAAGGAGCACAGUCCUGGAAAAUGAAUACGUCAUCAGUCAGGGUUACUCACUUUCAUUGCGGCAAUCUGACUGUUUACUUGAGUCCUACUCAGUUAAGCAGAUUCCUCUUUGUUGCUGAGACAUCAACUGCAUGGAGCGGCCCGUGGCUUCUUACUCAUGUCUUCAGAGAUAGUAAGGAUCAGAUGGUGAGAACAGCUAUCUGUCUGUCUUUCUCAAGAUAACGUCUUGCUACAUAGCCCCGAUUGUCCUUGAACUUGCAAUUCUCCUCUGUCAGCCUUGGACUGUUGGGAUUGCAUGAUGCUUACUCACACCAUGCCUCGUUGAGAAGUGUCUUUACAGAAAGCAGGCAAGGAGGAUUGUUAGCUUCAGGAUAGCCUGGGCUACAAUAUAUACCUUAGAUAUAUAUUUAAAUGAGUCAAAAGAGAAGAUGAUGGAAAGACAAUGGCACAGUUUGUAUGACAUGACCACCAUUUAAGAACUGACAGCUCCUAGAAAAUGGCAGAGUCAAGGGCUAUUGUUCCCUGAAAUACCCGGAGGCCAGUCACCUACUCAUGGUGGGUUUCUGGAUCUCUGGUCUUCAGAAUUCCUACUGAAUAACUUUCUACUGUUUGAAGCCAUGAAGUUCAUGACUUGUUAUAGUAGCCACAGGAAGUGGAUAUAUACAUUAUCCUGAAUGACUUUGUCAAAUGUAUUGAGACCCCAGACAUCCAACCGCUAGAGUGAAGAGAAACGUAACUCAAUUUGUAGAAAGUAUUCAACUCUUUCCUACUUUGCUAAUGUUUUCAAAAACUGGGCUGUCACUGGGUGUAUUGUUACCUGCUCUGGUGUCACAGACUGCCACCGUAACCCUUUGGGUACAAGUUCCUGGAGCCACAUGCCUUCCAGAGCUGCAGUUCCCAAAGCUGUAAAGGGGCUACUGGGGUUGACGCCAAUACUAAAGCCACCUUCCAUCCCACCACUUUCUCAUGGGUGAGUGAGAAUCUAGUAGAAUACAUGCUUGAUGGGCUUCGUGGUUUUCUUCUCCUCCUUGGGAUGGGCCAAGUGAGAUCAGAGUCCAAGAGAAGGAUGGACAAUGCUGAUGCCCUUUUCCUCUUUACACUUCAUGCCUCUUGACCCAGCAACCAUUUUUCCUUUUUCUGAUACUUUUAAAUAGUAGAGAGGUAUUUGCAAAUACAACUUAGGCAAGGUCCUUGCUCCACAUUGCUCAGAGUUACUGUUGGAAUACUCUUUGACUGCUCUUCUUUUCCUGGACUUCGUUAGUGUUAAAAGUCUGACAUCUUCUAGAAAUUCUUUAGCUGCACUUCAUUGCACUUACAGAUUUGUAAAAAAAUAACCAUUUGAGAAUUUC
rnacentral:lncRNA from 1 species